GAUGAACGCUAGCUACAGGCUUAACACAUGCAAGUCGAGGGGUAACGAGAGGAAAGCUUGCUUUCCUUGUCGACGACCGGCGCACGGGUGAGUAACGCGUAUCCAACCUGCCCCCAACUAGGGAAUAACCUUGCGAAAGUAAGACUAAUACCCUAUAAUUUCCUCAGAUGUCAUCUGACGAGGAAUAAAGAUUUAUCGGUUGUGGAUGGGGAUGCGUCUGAUUAGCUUGUUGGCGGGGUAACGGCCCACCAAGGCAACGAUCAGUAGGGGUUCUGAGAGGAAGGUCCCCCACAUUGGAACUGAGACACGGUCCAAACUCCUACGGGAGGCAGCAGUGAGGAAUAUUGGUCAAUGGGCGGAAGCCUGAACCAGCCAAGCAGCGUGCAGGAUGACGGCCCUAUGGGUUGUAGACUGCUUUUAUACAGGAAUAAAGUUAGCCACGUGUGGUUAUUUGUAGGUACUGUAUGAAUAAGGACCGGCUAAUUCCGUGCCAGCCGCCGCGGUAA
rnacentral:rRNA from 1 species